AGCUUAGUUCUGAAAAGAUGUUGCUCAAGAGCACACGAGCAUUCAAAGGACGGUCCUCGGAGGUUUACAGAAGUUUAUCCGAACCGGAGGAUGCCAGUCCGAGUGCUGGAGCGAAAGAUACGUCCCAAGUAUGUCUACAUUCCGAGGACUUCAAGCUGUCUUGGUGCCAAAGAUUUUGGUUUAAUAUGCGGUCCUUUUGUUGCCUCGGACAACCGAUAAAUAAAAAUGUUGGUGAUAAUUUGGACGAGUAAUGCAAAUUCUAAAGACUGCUGAUCUAUUAAAUUGAUUAAAUGUAAUGUAUGUAGAACAUUAUUAAUAAAAUGAUUAAAUAAAGUGCGGAACUGCUCUCAGCUAA